rnacentral:sRNA from 1 species
AGUCCUUAUAACACACGACUGUUCAAAAAUAAAAAUCCAGGCACUGGUGAAAUAGAAUAUGAAGUCAGAUUAGCUUCUGUUGAAUCAAGUAAUGCUGAAUUACCAGGUUAUGUUUUUGGUGAAACCAGUUUUGUGCCAAAAGAACUAGGCAGAGAGUUGAAGUUCACAGUGACAAGGGGAGACUAUUCACCUUUGAUGGCUCAAGUGGUGAAUGAGUUGAAAAGCGCUGAGGUACUACACAUUUAGCCUUUGUUUCAAUCCUGGUGUAUUUUAUAGAAUUGAAUGUGUUGACCAAAUUAGUAUUAUUAUGUUAAGUUAUUUAGAACUUACUUGUCUUAAAAAUAACUAUUGUCCUAAACUAUUUGAUCUAUUUUAUGCAUCUCUAUUACAUAUUCAUUGUCAACAUUCAAUUUUAAUUAUGGGUUUAAGUUAAUGAGAAGAGUGGUCAAAAAUAUUCAGGGGCGGAGGAGGGGCAGGAAGAGAGAGGAGGAAUAAAAGAUAAUUAC